rnacentral:rRNA from 1 species
GACUUGGUAACGCAGCUAACGCGUGAAGUAGACCGCCUGGGGAGUACGGUCGCAAGAUUAAAACUCAAAGGAAUUGACGGGGACCCGCACAAGCGGUGGAUGAUGUGGAUUAAUUCGAUGCAACGCGAAAAACCUUACCUACCCUUGACAUGGAUGGAAUCCCGAAGAGAUUUGGGAGUGCUCGAAAGAGAACCAUCACACAGGUGCUGCAUGGCUGUCGUCAGCUCGUGUCGUGAGAUGUUGGGUUAAGUCCCGCAACGAGCGCAACCCUUGUCAUUAGUUGCUACGAAAGGGCACUCUAAUGAGACUGCCGGUGACAAACCGGAGGAAGGUGGGGAUGACGUCAAGUCCUCAUGGCCCUUAUGGGUAGGGCUUCACACGUCAUACAAUGGUACAUACAGAGGGCCGCCAACCCGCGAGGGGGAGCUAAUCCCAGAAAGUGUAUCGUAGUCCGGAUUGGAGUCUGCAACUCGACUCCAUGAAGUUGGAAUCGCUAGAAU